rnacentral:rRNA from 1 species
AUGAAGAAAAACAUGGAUUUGAAAACGUUGUGGGAUAGAGCUUCCAAGAAAAGCAAGAUUGCCUCCACCUCGACGCCGAAACCCGCACCGAUUGGAGUUGAAAGCCGGUCUCGGAACCAAGGCAACCCUUCCCCAUCAGAUGGGCUGCAGGUGGUACCGAAGGAUGAUGAAUCUGGUGACGACGAGUCCAUUGCUUCAAACGCUAAACAGUUGCAGGCCGAGGCCGAGGCUCUAUAUCUGUCCCGUUUGAAAACUUCAGUCCAGUGCCUGAGGUUCAUCUUGCAGCAAGGCUUGCCAGUCCAUGGACAUCUUGAAAAUGAAGGUAAUGCAGGGAAUUUUCUUGAGCUUGUGGAUUGGCUGGCAGAGAGUGUUGAAGGAGUUAAAAGGGUGGGUCUGAAGGAUGCUCCGAGAAGCAGCGAGCUGUUGGACCAAAAGGCACAGGAGCAACUCAUCAACGCUUGUGCCCAAGAAACUACUAGGCUCAUCAUUGAAGACCUUGGUGAUGGUUAUUUCGCGGUGCUUGUUUAUGAAUCUCGCGAUAUGGAACAACAGGAACAAUUGGCCCUUUGCCUGCGUUAUGUUGGUACAAAAGGAAUGGCCGUGGAAAGGUUCCUCGGCAUCGUCGGAGUUGAAGACACUACCCCUUUGACAAUUAAAACAGCAAUUCAGAAUCUGCUUACGGCAUACCCCUUUGACAAUUAA